GUCCCUUCGGGACAUCCAAUAAUAUUGGAACGAUACAAAGAAUAAAAUUAGCAUGACUUUUGCACAAGAAUAAUACACACAAAUCUAGAAAUGAUCGUUACGGAA